rnacentral:rRNA from 1 species
GUGUCGUGAGAUGUUGGGUUAAGUCCCGCAACGAGCGCAACCCUCGUCGUUAGUUGCUAACAGUUCGGCUGAGAACUCUAACGAGACUGCCUACGCAAGUAGGAGGAAGGUGAGGACGACGUCAAGUCAUCAUGGCCCUUACGACCAGGGCUACACACGUGCUACAAUGGGGUAUACAAAGAGCAGCGAUACGGUGACGUGGAGCAAAUCUCAAAAAUAUCUCCCAGUUCGGAUAGUAGUCUGCAACUCGACUACUUGAAGUUGGAAUCGCUAGUAAUCGUAGAUCAGCUAUGCUACGGUGAAUACGUUCCCGGGUCUUGUACUCACCGCCCGUCACACCAUGGGAGUUGAACUCAUUCGAAGCGGGGAUGCUAAGGUAGCUACCCUCCACAGUGGAUUCAGCGACUGGGGUGAAGUCGUAACAAGGUAACCGUAA